AGUGGAUGGGGAGCAACCUAGUUGUGCGUGUGUAAAGGUAGUGCCAAGAAAAGCGAUGAUCAUGUUGAAAAUCAAUUCCCGGUACCCGAAACCGACACAGGUGGGCAAGUAGAGAAUACUAAGGGGCGCGAGGUAACUCUCUCCAAGGAACUCGGCAAAAUGACCCCGUAACUUAGGGAGAAGGGGUGCCACCGAGAGGUGGUCGCAGUGAAGAGGCCCAGGCGACUGUUUAGCAAAAACAUAGGUCUCUGCAAACUCGAAAGAGGAGGUAUAGGGGCUGACGCCUGCCCAGUGCCGGAAGGUUAAAGAAGUUGGUCAGUCUUAGGAUGAAGCUAGCGACUGAAGCCCCGGUGAACGGCGGCCGUAACCAUAACGGUCCUAAGGUAGCGAAAUUCCUUGUCGGGUAAGUUCCGACCCGCACGAAAGGCGUAACGAUCUGGGCGCUGUCUCGGAGAGAGGCUCGGCGAAAUAGGAUUGUCUGUGAAGAUACGGACUACCUGCAUUUGGACAGAAAGACCCUAUGAAGCUUUACUAUAGCUUGGAAUUGUGUUCGGGCUUCCUGUGCGCAGGAUAGGUGGGAGGCGUAGAAGGUAUUCUUGUGGGGAUACUGGAGCCAACGGUGAGAUACCACUCUCAGGAGGCUAGAAUUCUAACUUAAUUAAGGACAGUUUCAGGUGGGUAGUUUGACUGGGGCGGUCGCCUCCAAAAAGGUAACGGAGGCGUACAAAGGUUCCCUCAGACUGGUUGGAAAUCAGUCGAAGAGUGCAAAGGCAGAAGGGAGCUUGACUGCGAGAAGUACAGUUCGAGCAGGGUGGAAACACGGUCUUAGUGAUCCGACGGUGCUGUGUGGAAGGGCCGUCGCUCAACGGAUAAAAGUUACUCUAGGAUAACAGGCUGAUCUCCCCCAAGAGUUCACAUCGACGGGGAGGUCUGGCACCUCGAUGUCGGCUCAUCGCAACCUGGGGCGGAAGUACGUCCCAAGGGUUGGGCUGUUCGCCCAUUAAAGCGGUACGUGAGCUGGGUUCAGAGCGUCGUGAGACAGUUCGGUCCAUAUCCGAUGUAGGCGUGAGAAUAUUGAGAGGAGCCUUCCUUAGUACGAGAGGACCGGGAAGGACGCACCGCUGGUGUACCUGUUAUGAUGCCAAUUGUAAACGCAGGGUAGCCAAGUGCGGAGAGGAUAACCGCUGAAAGCAUCUAAGUGGGAAGCCCACCUCAAGAUGAGUAUUCUGGUGUAAGGUCACGGGAAGACGACCCGUAAAUAGGCACGAGGUGGAAGUGCAGAGAUGUAUGAAGCCGAAGUGUACUAAUAGACCGUCGGCUUGACC
rnacentral:rRNA from 1 species